GGAAUUCCAGGGAGGUCGUGGAGUCCCCCUCUCUGGAGACUUUCCAAACCCACCUGGAGGUGCUGAUGUGCCACCUGCUCUGGGUGACCCUGCUUUGGCAGGGGGGUUGGACUGGAUGAUCUCCAGAGGUCCCUUCCAACCCUAACAGUUCUGGGUUUCUAUGAAAUAACUGUGAAAAGCGUUCAUGACAAGUAUGAAUUCCAGUGGUGUGUCUCCACAAAUACACUAUGCAGAGGUUUGAAGGGAACUGGCAGAAAAGAGGUAAAAGGAUGGAUCUGGACAGGAAACCAUCAAUGAAAUGCAAAAUGUUUGUUUUCCCACUGUGAAAUGUACUGACCACGUAAAUUUCCCUAUUAACACUGACAAAACAAACUUGGAAAUUUACUAACACAAGCUUGUUUCCCGAGUGAAGUCCUCAGGAAAAUAAGAAUUGUACUUAUAAAACCAUUUCUGAACCACAGGAAGCCCUGUGUCCCGCGGUCCCUCGCUGAAGUUUGAUUGGAAAGGCUGGAGCCACAGCAGCUGGGGAGCCCCAGACAGAGACUGAAGCCGAACAUCAUCCAAAAAUGGUGAGAGAUGACAAGCCUUGAAAAGGUGACUUCAUUCCAAGCCUGUUCUCCUUGGGAGUCCCCCCUGUCUAAAUAAAGCUGUGGUACUUGUG